rnacentral:rRNA from 1 species
AGUGAACGCUGGCGGUAGGCCUAACCCAUGCAAGUCGAACGGCAGCACAGUAAGAGCUUGCUCUUACGGGUGGCGAGUGGCGGACGGGUGAGGAAUACAUCGGAAUCUACUUUUUCGUGGGGGAUAACGUAGGGAAACUUACGCCAAUACCGCAUACGACCUACGGGUGAAAGCAGGGGAUCUUCGGACCUUGCGCGAUUGAAUGAGCCGAUGUCGGAUUAGCUAGUUGGCGGGGUAAAGGCCCACCAAGGCGACGAUCCGUAGCUGGUCUGAGAGGAUGAUCAGCCACACUGGAACUGAGACACGGUCCAGACUCCUACGGGAGGCAGCAGUGGGGAAUAUUGGACAAUGGGCGCAAGCCUGAUCCAGCCAUACCGCGUGGGUGAAGAAGGCCUUCGGGUUGUAAAGCCCUUUUGUUGGGAAAGAAAAGCAGCAGGUUAAUACCCCGCUGUUCUGACGGUACCCAAAGAAUAAGCACCGGCUAACUUCGUG